UACAGAGGUCCCAAGCGUUGUUCGGAUUCACUGGGCGUAAAGGGUGCGUAGGUGGCUGGGUAAGUUUGAUGUGAAAUCUCCGGGCUUAACCCGGAAAUGGCAUUGAAUACUAUCUGGCUAGAGGUUUGGAGAGGUGAGUGGAAUUCCUAGUGUAGAGGUGAAAUUCGUAGAUAUUAGGAAGAACACCAGUGGCGAAGGCGGCUCACUGGCUCGGUACUGACGCUGAGGCGCGAAAGCGUGGGGAGCAAACAGG
rnacentral:rRNA from 1 species